AGCGCUCUCUCAUUAUGAUACGAUCUGAUAUUCGCGUGUUAUUGACUUAUAAACUUAUACAACAUGCUUGUAACUAUUCAAAAUGGCCGCCGGUGUUUGUAAACAUUUACAAAAAGUGGAUUUUAUCUGGAAUGGAAGGACUAAUGAACAUAAAUUUGGACUCAGAUUGAAGAUAAAAUAUCCAGAAUAAAGAUGGACAAUAAAGACAUGCUACAUUUCCCGUGAUUAAAGUAGCAGGACCUGAUGGACAUGAAAUGGUGGUUCAUCGGCCAUGGACGGAGAAUGACAUCCCUGAGGUGUCCAAACAACGGACAGAUCCUCGUUAAGCUGGAGGAGAAAAGUUCUCAGCAGAGCUGAGACCUACCAAAAAUGAACUGAGAUGUCUAAUGGGUCUUUAGCUGGGAGUGGACAUUUCACAUGUCAGAAUGGACUGGACAACAGACAAUGUCACACAGCGAAAUGUGACCUGGAGUCAUAAGGACAAUAACAAAUGCUUCAUUUGCAAAAAAGAAGGACACUGGGCCAACAAAUGACUAAAGAGUUGAGAACUAUGGAGAAGACUGAAUGAUGGAGGAGGACCGGACUGAGGACAAACCAAAAGGGUCUGAACCAUCAUCUCCAAGUAUGAAGUCCUCGAGGCUCCCUUAAGCGAAAUUGCUGAUGGGAAGGGCCUACAGGCCCACAGUGCACUUAGUUGGAACAUCGAAGCAGACAAGGCCUUUGAAACAUCAAAAAGAGCUCUGCAGAUAACACCAACACUGCGAAUCCCGGAUCCGAACAGACCAUUCACUCAGACAGUGAAUGAAAAAGGAGGGUGUAUGACGUCAGUAUUACUCCAGGGUCAUGGAGGUAAACUAAGACCAAUAAAUAAUUCUUUUUAAGCUAAAUUAGACCUUAUAGUAGCAGGUCUCCAAUGUGUUUGAGAGCUGUGCCAGCUGAAUAAAAAAGUGGUAAAUGAUUCAAUAGACUUAUGUAAGUUACUGAAAUUUGACCUUGUUGGUACCAAACUAUGUUUCUCAAUUGCUGAACAAAGAAACAAAAAACUGAUAACAUGACGGCAGCCAGAUGGCUGAGGUAUAACAAUGUAUUAAUUGAAAUGACUAACAUCACAUUGGAAUAUAUAAUGUAUUUAAUCCUGAUACUUUUCUUCCUACAGAAAAUGAAGGUGAACCAAAUGAUUGUUUUAAUGUUGUUAAUGAAGUUUGCUUUCCUAGACCAGAUUUACAGGAAACUACAAAAUCCAGAUAUGGAGCUGUUUGUUGAUGAAUCUUCAUAUAGAAGCACAGAAACAAGAAGCUGUGUGGGGUAUGAUGUAAUGACCAAAAAUGAAACCAUCAAAGCAGAAUCACUAACAUCUUAUCUAUCAGCUCAAGCUGAUGAAUUAGUAGCAUUGUAAAUUGGCUAAAGGAAAAAACUAUUAGCAUUUUCACUGUCAGUAGAUAUGAAUUUUAAGUAGUAAAUGAGGCCUUUUGACCUAUUUAGGUAAACGUAUCACAUAUCACAACCUGAUUUCUGCACUUCUGGAUGGAAUCCUAUUUCCAAAAGCUAUUGAUGUAUGUAAAUGUGAAGCUGACACCUGAUGUUCUGAUCCCAUUUCACAGGGCAACAACAGAGUAGACAUGGCUGAGAAAAGGCAGCAGUGAAAUGUACAGUAGAUAAAUAUUUUGUGUUGUGGAAAAAUGAUUUCUGUUUCAGCUGACCUGACAGCCAUCCAGUCCUUCGCCAAGCCAAGCCGAGUGGAAGCGAGCUGGGUGUAACAAAAAGGAUGAGGUUUGGUAUGGUCCAACUGGUAAGCCACGUCUUCCCAAAAAAAUUGUUUCUAGAUUAUGAAAAUUUGACACAUGGUCAAGACCAUGUGCCAAAAAGGAGGGAUGCAUGGUAGUAUCUCAAGACAUGUUGGGUUGGGGUUCGGGAAAAGUUCUGUCAAUACUCCAUUCCUGCAGCAAGAACAGUCUGUACAAAGUUCGCGAUAACAUGGCUGUCUUACUGCUCAGAAUGAAAAACAGUCAGUGAAGGGGGGUAGGUACAUCGCAGCAGGUCCUCUGGAGGAAUUUACUUAUCAGCGAGGCCGUAGUUGAUAACAGGGGAGCCAAGAGCAGAAAUGACUGUUGUUUUGUCUGAGCACUAAUACAAAUUUAACACAAACUCUCAGAAUGAAUGCGUCUCUGGUUCAUCUCAUUUCGCAAAACCGUUAGUUUCUCCAAGAUUGAAUCCAUAUUGCGACUAAUAUUCACAGUCUGAGUUCCAACGGCUCUGCCCACCAUCUCAAUCAAAUUGGGCAGUUUCUGGGGACCUUUGACAACUGACCCAACUCUUUUAAUUUCCCGAUACAGCAGGGCAAAGCCUAAUCCAAUCAGCAAAAACCCCACAAUCAAAAUUCCGAAUAGGUAAACAUCCUCUACGUCCUCCAACGAAAGAGGUGCCAGGCACACGACCCUCCACUUCCCCCACGAGUCCAUCGCGUAUCCUGCCAUCUGCGUUCCGUCGGGGCAUGUGGGUUCCCCCGAACCCAAACUUCUCGAUGAGAAGAUGGUGUCAAUAGCAUUCAGAGACCAUUUAACCAAAUUCGAUAAUUUGUUCUUUGAGGAGCUGUGCUAAGAAAAACUCUGUAGAGUAGAGUAGACAAGACAAUACAAUACAGGAGAAGCCAAGCAGGGAAGAUAGGGGAGGAGGAGGGAAAAGUGCGUCCGUCUUCCACGAGAGCGAGAGAAGAAGAAGAUAUGUUCUCCAAAUGGAUUGAAGCAUUCCCAACUGAGGGUGGGACAUUAAAAACAGCAUGCAAGUGCGGUAGCAAAGGCACUUAUAACUGACAUAAUCCAAAAGUGGGGGAUCCGUGAAAGAAUUGGCAAUGACAAUGGUACUCCAUUUGUCAACAAAGCAUUACAGCAGGUCGUGAGUAUGUGAUUUAUUGAUUUAAAACAACAGUGUGCCCAUCACCCAGCCUGUGGGGCCGUGGAGCAAGAAAAUCUCACACACAAAUUGACAAAAUGUCGUUCAGAUACUGGUCUGACAUGAGUUAAGACCCAGCCAGUGAUAAUAAUGAAUAUGUGAACCAGAAUAAGGGAAAAACAAACUUAAGCCCUUUUGAGAUCCUAUUUUGCAGGCCUCCAAAUACAGGAAUCAGGUCUAGAGAAACUCCAAGACCACUCACGGAUGAGUGUGAGUGAAAUGUUAGGUUAUUGCGAAACCUGUCCUCUGUGUUGUGUGAAGUUCACAGGCAGGUGAAAGACUUCCUUCCAGGACCAACGAGUACCUAUCUACAUGAUCUGAAAUCCAGGUUACUGAGUGAUGGUGAAAGAUUUCAGGAGAUAAAGGUGGAAAGCCAAGAGGUGGCUAGAUCCGUUCCAAGUGCUCCUAACGGCACAAACCGUUGUCAAGGUUGCUGAAAGAGCCACGUGGAUCCACGCUAGCCAUGGCAGAAGAGUGCCAGAACCAACUGAAACCAGCCCUGACACACACACGGAGCAAGAUUAAAGGGGCAAUGUCAGCUUGACCUUUUGCUGAUAAUCACACAAAAACAAGAGAGUUUUUGCACAAAAGUCACCUAAACGUGUUGAGCCAAUUUUGGGGGGUACCUGAUAAAAGAAGAGGACGUCAUUGAGCCAACUGACGUUGCAGCGUGUGAAAUAGCUGAUUGGUCGAACUGAAAAAACCUUUGAACACUGUGUAAUAAAGUACAUCUUGAAUCAAAAUCCAGAACAUUUAAUGAAACAGACUUUCACCUCAGUAACUAGUGAAAGAGUCAACUGUGAGCUUGUGUGUGAUUUUUAUUUGAUUAAACAGGAUCACCGAAGUGACAUUUGGAACAUGUGGAAGAUCCAGAGACUGAGAGUGAAACCUGGGGAUAAGACCUGUGUUGCAGAAAAUUGAUGUAGAUUAGAUAAUCUAUAGAGGAAGAGUGUUUCUAAGCCUCGGUGAGGUGGGACGAGUGCUGAUUGGGCGUGCCCGCACUCCGAGCACCAACAUACGUCAAAAAUGGCAAAGACUCACCUAACCUAGAAAUUUCUAAGUCUGAUAAAAAUGAAAGCCCAUUGGUUGACACAUGGUGUAUUGCAUGUUAGCAUGUCUAAGAUUGGAUGUGGCUUAGCUAGGUUGAAUUGGGGAAAAGAUAGCUAAAUUCUUAAACAGGUGUUCGAGAAUUAGGUAUCAGUAUUACUGUUUAUGAAAAGAACUAAAGUGUUAAAUAAUUAAUGUAAAUAGUUUUUAUUUACCUAUUGAGUUUCUUUUGACUGAGAGUUUUUGUUUUGAUCAUCUUAUCAAUCAAGUUGAUAGAAAUUUUUGAUGAUUUAAUGUUGUUUGAGUAGUUGUUUUUUUUAUAUAUUUUUUAUAUUUACUUAUUUUUAUAUUUACGUAUUUGAUAAUAAUUUGCACAAAUAUUUACUCACAUUUAUCUUACUCGUAUAAUGAUAUUUACUGGUGAUUUUCAAAUGUUUUCUUUUUUUUUCCUUUUUUCUUUCUUUAUGAAAAAUUUUGAAGCAUUUAAUCAAGGUAGAAUGGUUGUCUGAUAGGCUUAAUCAUAUAAUUCAUUUUAUAUGUAAUUAUUUAUUAUGUAAGUCAUCCUGUGCUGAACCUGUGGUGUUGAGUACACUAUCGCAUCAGGUAGGUUGGUAAGAUGGGUAGGGUGUGGAAUUUUCCCUAAAUUGGAAAUUGGUUGAUAAUUAGCUUGUGAGGAUUCUCUAAUGAGCCUGAGGGUUUUUUCGUCCACCCAUGGGGGAUGACAGGAUAAACAAGUAGAUAGCAUGGAACAUUUAUAUUAAGACUUUAUUAAUCACUUAUGGGUUUGUGACAUAAAGUCACAAAAGAGGGGAAUCUAUUCUUAGUGAUAUUCUCAGAAAUAUUCCUAGCAAAAACAGUAUAUUCAUUUCAUACUAUUUUUUUUAGGUGUGUUUACUCUAUGAUAACAAGACCUUAAAACUCUGACAAGGGUAUAUUUAGUAUAUAAAAUUUUGUUAGUGUUGUCCAGGAAGGACAAGAGGAAGGAUUGUGAAUGGAAAUUUUAUAUUUUAUUAGUUAUUUGCAUCAAACUUAUAAGUUUCUGCUUUCUUAGUUCAAUUAGCAGAGGUAGAAGAGACUUUUGGAAGGUUACUUAGGAGCAGAGAUAUGUUGACCUUGGCAUGGGCUUCUUGCUUCCGUGGGAAUGCAUGGGUGUCGGGACUGUGUGUGCGGGGGUGCACGCAGGGUUUUGAUACAGGUGCAUUCUUGUGGAAGUACGCCAUGUUUCUAACAAACUGACUAUUCUUGUAGGAUGAUAAGCAAGUUUGAUGUGGAAAGUUGACCUUGAGUUGGGUCGCUGAGAAGAGUUAGCCUGAAGGGGCAGUAAAGCGGGGUAUAAAUACUGCGAUACUACAGACGGCAUACGCCUCUCUCCUCUGUAAAGCUGUGUGAGCGUUUGCAUUGAGAUUGGUCCUCAGCUGAGUAAUAAAUUGAUUAUUUGCUUUUAUCACUA